rnacentral:rRNA from 1 species
UACGAAGGGGGCUAGCGUUGCUCGGAAUCACUGGGCGUAAAGCGCACGUAGGCGGCUUUUUAAGUCAGGGGUGAAAUCCCGGAGCUCAACUUCGGAACUGCCUUUGAUACAGCACGUCUUGAGUCCGAUAGAGGUGGGUGGAAUUCCUAGUGUAGAGGUGAAAUUCGUAGAUAUUAGGAAGAACACCGGUGGCGAAGGCGGCGACCUGGGUAGAUACUGACGCUGAGGCGCGAAAGCGUGGGGAGCAAACAGG